UAGCAAUACGAGAGUGGUAGACGGGUGAGUAACACGUGGGAACCUUCCCUUUGGUUCGGAAUAGCUCAGGGAAACUUGAGGUAAUACCGGAUAAGCCCUUACGGGGAAAGAUUUAUCGCCAUAGGAUGGGCCCGCGUCGGAUUAGCUAGUUGGUGAGGUAACGGCUCACCAAGGCGACGAUCCGUAGCUGGUCUGAGAGGAUGAUCAGCCACACUGGGACUGAGACACGGCCCAGACUCCUACGGGAGGCAGCAGUGGGGAAUAUUGAACAAUGGGCGCAAGCCUGAUCCAGCCAUGCCGCGUGAGUGACGAAGGCCUUAGGG
rnacentral:rRNA from 1 species